AGCUCCAAUAGCGUAUAUUAAAAUUGCUGCAGUUAAAAAGCUCGUAGUUGCAUUUCCGAGGCAAGGGAUUAGUCCGACCUUUGGUGGGUAUUUAAUCCUCUUGCCUCGUCCUUGAGUGGUGCUUCUUGUUAUUAAGUUAUCGAGGAGAUAGCCGCUCAUCGUUUACUGUGAGAAAAUUAGAGUGUUCAAAGCAGGCUUAUGCCGUUGAAUAUAUUAGCAUGGAAUAAUAAGAUAGGACCUCGGUACUAUUUUGUUGGUUUGAGAACCAAGGUAAUGAUGAAUAGGGACAGUUGGGGGUAUUCGUAUUCAGUUGUCAGAGGUGAAAUUCUUAGAUUUACGGAAGACGAACUACUGCGAAAGCAUUUACCAAGGAUGUUUUCA
rnacentral:rRNA from 1 species